GACGAACGCUGGCGGCGUGCUUAACACAUGCAAGUCGAACGCUGAAGCUUGGUGCUUGCACUGGGUGGAUGAGUGGCGAACGGGUGAGUAAUACGUGAGUAACCUGCCCUUGACUCUGGGAUAAGCCUGGGAAACUGGGUCUAAUACUGGAUACGACAUGUCACCGCAUGGUGGUGUGUGGAAAGGGUUUUACUGGUUUUGGAUGGGCUCACGGCCUAUCAGCUUGUUGGUGGGGUAAUGGCUCACCAAGGCGACGACGGGUAGCCGGCCUGAGAGGGUGACCGGCCACACUGGGACUGAGACACGGCCCAGACUCCUACGGGUGGCAGCAGUGGGGAAUAUUGCACAAUGGGCGGAAGCCUGAUGCAGCGACGCCGCGUGAGGGAUGACGGCCUUCGGGUUGUAAACCUCUUUCAGCACGGAAGAAGCGAAAGUGACGGUACGUGCAGAAGAAGCGCCGGCUAACUACGUG
rnacentral:rRNA from 1 species